UACAGAGGGUGCGAGCGUUAAUCGGAAUUCCUGGGCGUAAAGCGCGCGUAGGCGGCUUUGCAAGUCGGGUGUGAAAUCCCCAGGCUUAACCUGGGAACUGCAUUCGAGACUGCAUUGCUAGAGUAUGGGAGAGGGAAGUGGAAUUUCCGGUGUAGCGGUGAAAUGCGUAGAUAUCGGAAGGAACAUCAGUGGCGAAAGCGACUUCCUGGACCAAUACUGACGCUCAUGUGCGAAAGCGUGGGGAGCAAACAGG
rnacentral:rRNA from 1 species